CCUAAGUACAACUCUCCUGAACGAAUCCCUCACUCACUCAGUGACCCUUCCUUCUUCCUUCUUCCUUCAUUUCGGAUAUAAAAAAACCCCCCACAAAUCCUUUCUUCUUUCUUUCCUCGGAUAGAAGAAACCCUCACAUAUGUUUUUGUUUCCCUCCUUGUAGCCACGCGUUCUUCCUUUUCCACGUCUUCAUUCAGACUCCAUCAUCAGCCACGUCCAUUUUCUCUCUCGUGCAUUAGAGAGAGCAGCUUCAUUUUCGCGUUCUUCUUCCGCAAGAGCAUUUUCUUCUCGAGAGCUCACCAUCAACCGUUGGUGAGAGGGGGAUAGAACUAUCCGGGGGACAGAAAUAAAGGAUUGCAAUACCUCGUGCCAUAACCCUGAUGCUGAAGUUAUGGCCUUGUCCCCCAAGAGUCUUCUGGCCAUAAAUAAGUUCAUUUGUGAGAUCUGCAACAAAGGAUUUCAAAGAGACCAGAACCUGCAACAUCACAGAAGAGGGCACAAUUUUCCGUGGAAGCUGAAGCAGAGAAAAAGCAAAGAGGCACUGCUUAAGGCUAUAGGAGCUAGUGUCUACUUGGUCAGGAAACCGUUACAAAAUGUAAAAGUAAUUCUUGUAAUUAUAUUUUUUAGUUCUAUUUAUAGAAUUAUCUAAUAAAGUUUUCAUAUUUUAAUUAUUUGUUUCAUAAUCAUAUGUAAAUUUGUUACAUUUGUAAUCUUGUAAUUAUAUUAUACAUUAUAUAUUAUGAAUAUAUUUGGCAAUUUGAUAUUGUA